UACCAUGGUGGUAACGGGUAACGGGGUGUUAGGGCACGACACCGGAGAGGGAGCCUGAGAAACGGCUACCACAUCCAAGGAUGGCAGCAGGCGCGCAAAUUACCCAAUCCCGACACGGGGAGGUAGUGACAAUAAAUAACAAUACGGGGUUCUUUAGGAUCUCGUAAUUGGAAUGAGUACAAUUUAAAUCUCUUAACGAGGAACAAUUGGAGGGCAAGUCUGGUGCCAGCAGCCGCGGUAAUUCCAGCUCCAAUAGCGUAUAUUAAAGUUGUUGCAGUUAAAAAGCUCGUAGUUGGAUUUCGGGGUCAGUAGGUCGGUCGUGCCACUGGUAUGAACUGGUUUUACUGAUUCCUCCCUCUUGAAGAACUGUAAUGCCAUUAAUUUGGUGUUGCAGGGAAUCAGGACUGUUACUUUGAAAAAAUUAGAGUGUUUAAAGCAGGCUUUAGCUUGAAUACAUUAGCAUGGAAUAAUGAAAUAGGACGUUUGAUCCUAUUUUGUUGGUUUCUAGGAUUGACGUAAUGAUUAAUAGGGAUAGUUGGGGGCAUUAGUAUUCAAUUGUCAGAGGUGAAAUUCUUGGAUUUAUUGAAGACUAACUACUGCGAAAGCAUUUGCCAAGGAUGUUUUCAUUAAUCAAGAACGAAAGUUAGGGGAUCGAAGACGAUCAGAUACCGUCGUAGUCUUAACCAUAAACUAUGCCGACUAGGGAUCGGAUGAUGUUAAUUUUUUAAUGACUCAUUCGGCGCCUUACGGGAAACCAAAGUGUUU
rnacentral:rRNA from 1 species